UUCCUGUAUAUUAUGCUGGAGGUCUAUCAUCUGAAAGGAUAUUAUCCAGUAUUUUAUCCUGGAUAUAUACAAUCCAGUUUUUUUUUAAGCGCUAUUAUCCAGUAUAUUUAUGAUGGAUAAGUGUAAAUGUCACGACCCAAAAUCUCACCACAGGCGUCGUGAUGGCACUUAGUCUCUAAGACUAGGUAAGCCGAUUAAAAUUACAAUUCAAGUCAAUUUUAUUUUUAAUGAUAAUUGAAACCAACAGUGGAAAUAAUUACAAACAACCUCCUAAGACUGGUAAUACUGAAUCACGAACUCUAACUGAAUACAUAAAAUAAUCUCAAAGAUUGAAUACUCAAUACUGUUUGAUUAAUAAUUGAAAGUAUAAUAAAAUGGAAAGACUCCAAGGGACUGCGACGACCAAGCAGCUAUACCUUGAAUCCUUGCGAUAACACUUUAACUCUGUCCGAGUCCGAUAUCUCCAAUUCUUAGCUCUGCACAAAAAUGUGCAGAAGUGUAGUAUGAGUACAGCACAGUCGGUACCCAGUAAGUAUCAAGACUAACCUCAGUGGAGUAGUGGCGAGGUACAGUCAAGACACUCACUAGUCUAAUAACCUAUGCAAUAUAGUAUACAAAAAUAAUAGGAAACAAAUAACAAUAAUGGCAACAAUAAUCAACUAGUGAUAUACACAACAGGGCAACAAGAACACCAUUUAUAUUGCUCAACAAAUGAUGAAUACAAGUACAACCAAUUAAUCAAGUCAUUCAAAUAUAAAUCUUUCGCCUAUAUGUUUGUCAAAUAAUAAUCUUCAGGAUAUAAUACUUUUCAAUAAAUAUAUUUCGAAUAUACUCCCUUCAAACAAAUAUUUUUCGAAUAAAAGUCACCCUAUGACACCUCAUUUCAAAAUCAUAAAAUAAGGGUCUCAGCCCACUUUCAUAUUUGCACAGCACCUCGUGCCAAUUUCCACAUAACAACCGCACGGACAACUCACUUGCCAAUAUCAUCAUCAUCAUUUACUCACGGCACCUCGUUCCUACAUUUCAUAUCACAACUGCACGGAUAAUUCAUGUGCCAAUAUUAUCAUUUUGUUCACUCACGGUACCUCGUGCCCACAUUUGAUUUCAUAAUCCGCCUGGCAAUAGCCACAAGCUCCCAAUUUCAACAUAGAUCAGACUAUUAUUAAUUUACCAACAACAAGACAAAUUGUGCAAGAUAUAAAAAUAAACACAAGGAAAAUCACAACAUCACAUGAAAAUUACCAACGCAAUACCCCACAUCAUCACAUAAAAAUUACCAACACAAUAACUCCACAUCAUCAUGUAUCAUCCGUGACAAUAGCCACCCUUAUCUCUUCUAUAGACACCCUUAUCCCUCCUCUAUGACAAUGUCAAUAGCCACUCUUAUCGCUCCAUAUAAUAGCCACCCUUAUUACUCCGCCCAGACAAUAUACCAACACACAUAUCCACAGUGAAAUGCCACCCUUAUAUCCUCAUAAUAAUAACUCGAAUCACACAAUAAUUUACACGGAAUAUUAUCACGACAACACAACACAAUCAAUUCCCAUCACAAUUUGCCAAAUGACCACAACCAGUUCCACUGAUACAGUAAAAUCAAUAAAUUUCUCAAAAAUAGCCCAAGGCUCCAUGCAACGUAUAUAAAACCUCAAAACAAUCAACAGAGAUGGAACAUAUCUAGUAUAGGUUAACGCCUUCAUUAAUCCAAUUUCUUGAUAAAUAUAUUAAUACCUCCAUUUAACUUAUUUAAUUAAUUAUUUGCAUACGGAAAAAUUCAUAAUAUAAUUAUUUUCAGGAAUUAUCAAAUCCACAAACACACAAAAUUUACGUAAAAUUCCAAGUCGCAAUCGCACCAAUUUAUCAAAUAAAUAUAAACUCAACAAACAAAGAUUGAGGCAUGACAAAUCACGGAUUUACUAAGUUUCCAUAAUUUUCAAAUUUAAUACAUAAGGGCGUCUACUUGACCCAUAUAAUUUGCACAUAUAAACCAAGUACAUACUCGUCACCUUGCGUACAUGGUUUUCAAUUACACAAUUUCCACAUAAGACUCAAUGCCUAAGGGGUAAUUCCCCCACUCAAAGUUAGACAAGAUACUUACCUCAAAACCGCGUAAUUUCUUACUACGCUAUGCCCUUGCCUCGUGAAUUGGUCUCCAAACGUCCCGAAUCUUUUGUAUAGCAAAGUUUUCUCCAGAUUUUGAUUAAGCAAGAACCACUUAAUACAGAAACAACAUUACUCAGAGAUGAACUAGAAACCAAAUCUGACAAUAGCACCUUGAUUGCAUUUCAAAUCUGGACCGAUAUCGCAGACCAUAUAACUUGAACAAUACCCACCGUAACGGCAACAUCAGUUGGAGUUCAAAUCUAGAGAUCUAGCCCAAAAUAUACCCUUAAUAUUCAACCCAUUUCUGAUUUCUAAUUCACUGAUAAUUUUGACAAAGAAAAUGAUAAAGGACGGUGGUGGGGGAGCUUUAAAAAUAGAAAAAGGGUGGUGUUGCAGUCAAGGAAAGUUCAUGGGAGGAGCUUUUGUUAAUUUGUGGUCCAAACAUUGGUUGAACAGAGGUGAUGGAAUUAAGUAGUUUCUAUGUUAAAAGUCUGUGAAAAGAACUGAAAUGUUGGUGGAGCUUUGUGUAGAUGGAGGAAAUUUUGCCAAAUGGAGAAGAUGAGCAAAAUUUUUCCUUUUCCCCUCUCUGUUCUCCAAACCGUGUGGACCCCAAUGCAACUUGAUUGUGUAUUAUCAAUGAUUUUUGUGAGUUGCGUGAGAUGUCAAGGUGAGGUUUCUAGAGUGAUGCCCAAGAAAAUUGAAUA
rnacentral:lncRNA from 1 species